ensembl:misc_RNA 7SK 7SK RNA
AUAUGUGAAGGUCAUCAGGAUGUGACAUCAAUCACCUCAUUGAUAGCAAGGUUCUAUUCAGCUGGGUUGGCUAGGUUAAGUCCCCUUCCUCUCCUACAUGCAUGUGUGGUCCCUAUCCCAGAAGCUGUGAGAUUGAUCAAAGCAAGUGGUCUUUCCAACUGGAGGAGGUCUAUCCUUGGUCAAAGGUAUGCAAGUCUGUAUGCUCCCCUUUUGGAGCACUAGGAGAACUACCGUAUUUGAGUCAAACAAACUUUCAAGAAAUUCGAAAGUGACUCAGUAAGCUGUGGGACAUAAUAAGAGGCUGUCUGUUCCUCCAU